GCGAGUGAAGCGGGAAAAGCUCAAAUUUAAAAUCUGGUAGUCUUUGGCUGCCCGAAUUGUAGUCUGGAGAAGCGUCUUCCGCGCUGGACCGUGUACAAGUCUCUUGGAACAGAGCGUCGUAGAGGGUGAGAAUCCCGUCUUUGACACGGACUACCAGUGCUUUGUGAUGCGCUCUCAAAGAGUCGAGUUGUUUGGGAAUGCAGCUCAAAAUGGGUGGUAAAUUCCAUCUAAAGCUAAAUAUUGGCGAGAGACCGAUAGCGAACAAGUACCGUGAGGGAAAGAUGAAAAGCACUUUGGAAAGAGAGUUAAACAGUACGUGAAAUUGCUGAAAGGGAAACGCUUGAAGUCAGUCGCGUCGUCCAGAACUCAACCUGGCUUUUGCUUGGUGCACUUUCUGAACGACGGGCCAACAUCAGUUUUGACUGUCGGAAAAAGUCCUUAGGAAUGUGGCACCUCCGGGUGUGUUAUAGCCUUUGGUCGUAUACGAUGGUUGGGACUGAGGACCGCAGCACGCCUUAUGGCCGGGGUUCGCCCACGUACGUGCUUAGGAUGUUGGCGUAAUGGCUUUAAGCGAC
rnacentral:rRNA from 1 species